CCUACGGGAGGCAGCAGUGAGGAAUAUUGGUCAAUGGGCGAGAGCCUGAACCAGCCAAGUCGCGUGAGGGAGUACUGCCCUAUGGGUUGUAAACCUCUUUUGUCGGGGAGCAAAAGCCGGACGUGUCCGGCUGUGAGAGUACCCGAAGAAAAAGCAUCGGCUAACUCCGUGCCAGCAGCCGCGGUAAUACGGAGGAUGCGAGCGUUAUCCGGAUUUAUUGGGUUUAAAGGGUGCGCAGGCGGAUUUUUAAGUCAGCGGUAAAAUCGUGGGGCUCAACCCCAUCCAGCCGUUGAAACUGGGGAUCUAGAGUGUGCGAGAGGUAUGCGGAAUGCGUGGUGUAGAGGUGAAAUGCAUAGAUAUCACGCAGAACCCCGAUUGCGAAGGCAGCAUACCGGUGCACAACUGACGCUCAGGCACGAAAGCGUGGGUAUCGAACAGGAUUAGAUACCCGAGUAGUC
rnacentral:rRNA from 1 species